UAUAAUUAGAUUAGGACUAUUAUGUAUGGACCCUGCCUCCGUCGACGGCUUGCGGGACGAGUAUUUCCCCCUAAUACAACCUGUAUAAUUAGAUGGCAAUAAAUAAUCCAGGACUAGAACAUCGGUGCUCCAGGCUAUCCGCUUCAUAGUUGCAGUUGAUGGAAGAUUCAUCAACUCAGACUUGACUUCACUCGUGCUGCGAUGGCCAUGGUUUUCGCAGCAUUUUUGAUAUAUGAUAUUUAUUACCCAUCAGAAGCUUCAGUCACAAUGGAAUUUAUGCAGAGGUGUUUCUGAAAAAUAAAUGCAGAAAAAGGGACAAAAAAUACCAGAACAAAGAAAACAUGGCACACACCCAUUGAAGAAUAUUAAAGUUCAAUGAGCUUAUGGAA